CACGCAUAGCUUGUCCUUUCCUUAUCCUUUAAAAUGCUGCACGGUCAAAGUAAUUUAUCGUAAAUAUCUGGCCAAAUACAAGCUGCGUCUAAUCACUAUCUUAAGGUCAUAUUUUACCCCAAAUUUUAUUCAAUAUUCCUCCAUCACCGGACCACCUGACUCACCUGGUAAAACAGUAAGCUGCUAUUCAAAAUGGCGUCGCCGCACCUGUAGGAGAGCGGAGUUGUUAGUCAAGAAUAUUAACUUAAAGUCAUUAUUCUCCAGUAAAUAACCCACAUUUCCGAUGUCAUAUCGCUUUUUAGGUUUUGUUGAAAGCAAAUGCCGUGCUUCCUUGAAUCUUUCUACCUCUUGGCAUUACCUUUUGUAGCCAGAGGCUAGCUAGAGAGAGGGUUAUUUAGCUAGCUUGCUAGCUUGUUUAACGGUAACAGGCCUCGGAAGGCGCCUGACAUUCCUCCCUACCAACAGUACUUCUAAGAAGCCACGGGGUCAGGGCGAGUUGAAUCUCAUGUCAAGAUUGUCCCUACGUUGACCUGCGCCUGACUGGCCUCCCAGCAAAAAGCCCCUGUGAAGCAGAAAGGCAAAGAGAGCUGAGCUGAUCCGAAGGUGAAAAACAUCCUCCUCCUCUCCCCCAGCUGAACAUCUGUCUCCGUGGUGUUGGCUGCAGCACAGACCCUGACACUUCCAGAUGGAGAGCCCGCUGGGAGCACUGAGGUGUGAGCUCCUGAUUCAACUCCAGCUGUGACCCAGGUCCACGAAGACGUGCAGAGAGCAGGAAGGAGGACACGCGCUUCACAUACACACAUCAUCAUCAUCAUCAUCAUCAUCAUCACCAUCAUCACCUUCACCCACCGUGAUCAAGUGGACACUGAUUUCACAUUUGCAAGAAAACUGCGUGGACUUGAUGGAAGUAUUGUAAUAUUUUCCAACUGAAAUGGUGUCCUUGGCGUCCUGCAGGACUCCCCCUCCCUCUAUCCGGCCCUGCAGCAGCUGGUGGAUCUGAUCCACCACCCCCAAGUCCUG